GAUGAACGCUGGCGGCGUGCUUAACACAUGCAAGUCGAACGGAAAGGCUCCUGCUUGCAGGGGUACUCGAGUGGCGAACGGGUGAGUAACACGUGGGUGAUCUGCCCUGCACUUCGGGAUAAGCCUGAGAAACUGGGUCUAAUACCGGAUAGGACGAUGGUUUGGAUGCCAUUGUGGAAAGUUUUUCGGUGUGGGAUGAGCUCGCGGCCUAUCAGCUUGUUGGUGGGGUAAUGGCCUACCAAGGCGUCGACGGGUAGCCGGCCUGAGAGGGUGUACGGCCACAUUGGGACGGAGAUACGGCCCAGACUCCUACGGGAGGCAGCAGUGGGGAAUAUUGCACAAUGGGCGCAAGCCUGAUGCAGCGACGCCGCGUGGGGGAUGACGGCCUUCGUGUUGUAAACUCCUUUCGCUAGGGACGAAGCGCAAGUGACGGUACCUGGAGAAGAAGCACCGGCUAACUACGUG
rnacentral:rRNA from 1 species